UUCGUAAAAUUUGUUUGAGCGUUUUUCGAAAACGGUUUGACGAAUCAAUUUGAUUUGCAUAACUUUUGGUCAGCACUGCCUGAAGAUGAUCUGGUUCAAUUUUCGUGUGAAUCGGACAAACCGUCUAGGACGAGUUCGAAAAAGUAGGUUUUUCAAAGAAUUCAAAAUGGCGGCCAUAUUUCUAUGACGGAAAAUGACGGCAUAGGGUGCAAUCGAAUUGGCAUGAGCUCAGAAAUCAGAGGAAAAAAGAAUUUUGUUGAUUGGACUUACGGUUAAAAAGUUAUUAACAAAAUUAAAGUGAAAUUUCGGACAGUUGGUGGCGCUAGAGGGAAUGUCUUAGACACACCAAAUUUGGUGUACUAAAUGUUGGCACUGUCCUCUAUCAGAAUGUCAAACCAAAACAACUUUCCCGCAUUCGGUUCUAUGGGCUGCCAUAGACUCCCAGUCGGAAGAAUAAUAAUAAUAAUAAUAAUAAUAAAUAUAGCUGCAAGCAGCAAUUACGGGGCCAAGCACUCCAACGGCAAAUGUAGGAGCUAAGCAUCGCAUGAAGCAUCACACCAAAUUCAUUAAUGAGCAAUAACAGCAAUUUUGGAAUUAUUGUAAUUGAAAUGGCAAAAAAAAAUCAUAAUACCACCUCUAGUAGCAUGAUUACUUGGCUUAUCAAGCUUGACCAAUAGGUGGCACUGUUAUAAAAUCAAUUUGGUGUACUCUGUGUGACUUUUCAAUGACACACACAAAGUUUGGUGUCAAUAUGCCAAAGCAUUCCAGGGAUACAGCCUCAAGUGUCAUUUUCUCAUUGUGCCGCAAAUUCGUCGAUGUGGUAUGCGAAAACGGUUUUGUCUAUCGACUCAAAAGCCAUAACUUUGAGUCAGCAUAGUCUGAAGAUCAUUUGAUUCGAAUUUGGUGAAAAUCGGACCUACGGUUGAUGAGGAGUUCGACAAAGUAGGUUUUCAACAUAAAUCAAAAUGGCGGUCCGGAAGUUCAGCUUACUAUGGUAUAUUUGGUAUCUAUGUUAUCGGCAUAAACCAGGGAAUAUUUUGAGCCCAGUUCCAUUCGAAUGGGCUAAUGCAAUAAAAAGUUAUUAGCAUUUUUACAAGUGUAAUUAUUCAUGGUUAAUGAAUGGUUUAUUACUCUUGACCAAUAGGUGGCGCUGUCACCAAAUUUCUGUGGCAUGGUCAGUGUGAGGUGGCGAUGACACAUACAAAAUUUGGUGCAAAUAUGUCAAAGCGUUGCAGAGAUACAGCCUCAAAUGCAUUUUGGCACCCUUCCAGCAAAUUCGUUGAUGCGCUAAAUGAGAACUGUUUCGUAUAUCGACACGAAAUCCAUAACUUUUUGCCAGCAUGGUCUGAAGAUGAUUCACGUCAAAUUUGGUGAAAAUUGGACUAACGGUCUAGGAGGAGUUCGAAAAAGUAGGUUUUCAACAUUAAGCAAAAUGGCGGACAGGAAGUAAGGCCAAUUUUCACAUAAUUGGUAUCAAUGCUCUCGGCAUGACCCACAGAAUAUAGCGAGAUCAUUUUAAUUUUAAUAGUCUAAUUUAUUCAAAAGUUAUUAGCAUUUAUGUGAUAUUUCAUUAUAACUAUUGGCCACAAGGUGGCGCUGCCACCAAACUUUUUGAGUACCUUCAGGGCAUGGAGCCGAAUAUUUUUGUAAUUAUUUGCGAAACGAUACGAUGCUGCGUUCAAAAAAUACAGCAUUUUAAAACAUAAUUCAAAAUGGCCGACGCUUAAAAUGGCCGACACAGGAAAAUUGGAUAUCAUUCGACUCGCCAUGACUCACUGAAUCUAAAGAGACCAGUUGUGUGAUUUUUUGCCAAACCAAUCAGAAGUUAUAAGCCAAAAUAUGCAUUUUUCAUAUCUCCUGACCACUAGGUGGCGCUGUGUUGAAACACUGCAGGUAGUCUCAGGUCAUGCUUAUUAUAACACACACCAAGUUUGGUCUCAAUAUGCCAAACCGUUGCUGAGAUAUAGCCUCACGUGUAUUUUUGCGUGCUUUUCAUCAUAUUUUUUCACAUGUCAUUCGAGAACGGUUGGAGGAAUCAACUUGAAUUCCAUAACUUUUAGCCAACAUGGUCUGAAGAUGAUCUGAGCCAAUUUUCGUGAAAAUCGGACAAACCGUCUAGGACGAGUUCGAAAAAGUAUGUUUUUCGAACAAUCGAAAAUAGCGGAAAAACUAAACCUUGCGAUUUUUGAAUUUUGGGGUUCAUUCGACUUGGCAUGAGCCAAGGAUUCAGAGGAAAAAAGAAUUUCCAUUUUCUGGCUUACGGUUCAAAAGUUAUUAGCAUACAAACAUUGAAAGUUUGGACAAGUGGUGGCGCUAGAGAGUAGGAGUUAGAGACUUCAAAUUAGCUAUAGUUAAUGUUGGGACUGUCCUCUAUCAGUGUGCCAAAUUAUACAACUUUCCCGCAAUCGGUUCUAUGGGCUGCCAUAGACUUGCGGCGGAAGAAGAAGAAGAAGAAUAAUAACGCCAACGAAAACAAUAGGUGCCUACGCACCUUCGGUGCUUGGCCCCUAAUAAUAAUAAGAACCGGAACAAAAACAAUAGGUGCCUCGCACCUUCGGUGC